rnacentral:pre_miRNA from 15 species
GUCUCGUGGCCCAUGAAAUCAAGCAUGGGUGAGACCUGGUGCAGAACAGGAAGGCGACCCAUACUUGGUUUCAGAGGCUGCGAGAA